rnacentral:rRNA from 1 species
GACGAGCCACACAAACGUUAUUCGGAAUUACUGGGCUUAAAGGGUGCGUAGGCGGCGCGGAAAGUUGGGUGUGAAAUACCUCGGCUCAACCGAGGAACUGCGCCCAAAACUACCGUGCUCGAGGAAGAUAGAGGUGAGCGGAACUUACGGUGGAGCGGUGAAAUGCGUUGAUAUCGUAAGGAACACCCGUGGCGAAAGCGGCUCACUGGGUCUUAUCUGACGCUGAUGCACGAAAGCUAGGGGAGCAAACGGG